rnacentral:sRNA from 12 species
UAGUAGUUUGAGGGAUCGAAAGAUGAAGAACGAGAUGCAGGGAACAAAUCUGGUAAAGGGAUUAGUCAGGUAUUGCGGAAGGAUAAUAAUCCAUGAAGGUCGAGAGGCUCGACCUUAUCCUCGAAACGGCAAUAGAGGAGAUAGUGUUAUCGAAAGGUAAGGCGUCAUGAAUGCGAAAGCAGCUCUUUUGUAACUCCUAGGAAGAAUCCAAGUGUACGGGGGAGGGACUUGAAACAGUCAACGUACAUCUUACA